AGGCCAAAGAGGAGAAGGUUGAUCCCGAGAUAAAAAUGGAGGAGGAGUACGAGUAAGUCUGUAGACCCAGCUGUUGUCAACGACGACGAGGAGGAAAACACUAACGACGAAGAUAUCGAGAAUGAUUACAUCUAUUUGCUGUUCUUUGUCAACAAUAAUUGGUAUCUGUUUUUCCGCCUCCAUCACAUUCUAUAUGAGAGCCUGUACAAGAUAUAUAUGUAUUCUGUUAAAAUCGCUGCAGAGGAGGCGCAGUGUAGGAAAGACCGAAAGGCAUCCACUGCAGUGGCCCUCAGACUCAAAGCCCCAAUUGAGAUUGAACCAGAGGAACACUAUCCAUACUUCCUGGAGAUGAUGAAAAGUUUGUUGGAUGGGAACCUAGAAUCCACA